GGUCACGAGUUCCAGCGUGAAGCCCCGGCUGGCUGGACGGCAACCCUCUGCUGCAGCGGGGUGCCCCGGGAGGCGACCAGGCGCCCGCCAUGACGGCGGUCUGCAAGUGCACGGG
rnacentral:ncRNA from 2 species